rnacentral:rRNA from 1 species
AUUGAACGCUGGCGGCAGGCCUAACACAUGCAAGUCGAGCGGAUGAUGGGAGCUUGCUCCUGGAUUCAGCGGCGGACGGGUGAGUAAUGCCUAGGAAUCUGCCUGGUAGUGGGGGACAACGUUUCGAAAGGAACGCUAAUACCGCAUACGUCCUACGGGAGAAAGCAGGGGACCUUCGGGCCUUGCGCUAUCAGAUGAGCCUAGGUGGGAUUAGCUAGUAGGUGAGGUAAAGGCUCGACUAGGCGACGAUCCGUAACUGGUCUGAGAGGAUGAUCAGGCACACUGGAACUGAGACACGGUCCAGACUCCUACGGGAGGCAGCAGUGGGGAAUAUUGGACAAUGGGCGAAAGCCUGAUCCAGCCAUGCCGCGUGUGUGAAGAAGGUCUUCGGAUUGUAAAGCACUUUAAGUUGGGAGGAAGGGCAGUAAGUUAAUACCUUGCUGUUUUGACGUUACCGACAGAAUAAGCACCGGCUAACUUCGUGCCAGCCGCCGCAGUAAAAC